rnacentral:rRNA from 1 species
AACGAACGCUGGCGGCAUGCCUAACACAUGCAAGUCGAACGAGACCUCCGGGUCUUGUUGCGCACGGUCACGUAACGCCUGGGAACUUGCCCUUAAGUUCGGUAUAACUCCCCGUAAGGGGUGCUAUUAACGGAUAAUGUAUUCCGACCUACGAUUUAUCGCCUUUGGAUGGGGCCGCGUUGGAUUUGCUAGUUGGUAGGGUAAAAGCCUACCAAGGCGUCGAUGCAUAGCUGGUCGGAGAGGAUGAUCAGCAACGCUGGGACUGAGACACAGCCCAGUCUCGUACGCGAGGGAGCAGUGGAGAAUAUAGGACGAGGGGGGAAGGCCUGAUCCAGCAAUGCCGCGUGAGUGAUGAAGGCCUUAGUGUUGUAAAGCCAGCUUACCCGAGAUGAUAAUGACAGUACCGGGAGAAUAAGCUCCGGCUAACUACGUG